rnacentral:rRNA from 1 species
GACGAACGCUGGCGGCGUGCCUAAUACAUGCAAGUCGAGCGGACGGAUGGGAGCUUGCUCCCAGACCGUCAGCGGCGGACGGGUGAGUAACACGUGGGCAACCUGCCUGUAAGACUGGGAUAACUCCGGGAAACCGGGGCUAAUACCGGAUAACUCUUUCCCUCACAUGAGGGAAAGCUGAAAGAUGGCAUCUCGCUAUCACUUACAGAUGGGCCCGCGGCGCAUUAGCUAGUUGGUGAGGUAACGGCUCACCAAGGCGACGAUGCGUAGCCGACCUGAGAGGGUGAUCGGCCACACUGGGACUGAGACACGGCCCAGACUCCUACGGGAGGCAGCAGUAGGGAAUCUUCCGCAAAGGACGAAAGUCUGACGGAGCAACGCCGCGUGAGUGAUGAAGGUUUUCGGAUCGUAAAACUCUGUUGUCAGGGAAGAACAAGUACCGGAGUAACUGCCGGUACCUUGACGGUACCUGACCAGAAAGCCACGGCUAACUACGUG